GGGCGGUAAAAGGGUGGUGGGUGUGGAGGGGACCGGGACAGGCAUCUCCUGGGGAAAGUUUCGAGUGAGGCAGUGGGAGGAGAGGGUCGGGGCAGAGUUGCGAUGAACUGGGGAUUGAGCAGCCCCGGCUCGCCUCCGAGGUUCCCGAGCCGGGCGGGAGAUGCGGGGAGAGGGAGGGGGCGGGGAGGGGAGGGGAGGGAGAGAGGAAGAAGGGGUGAGAGGGAGAAACCUGCCGCCGCUCGCCGCCUCUUUGUCUGCUCCGGGACUUGGAACAAAAGGGGGAACUCUGAUGAACUCUCUCUCCUCCCCUCUCCCCCGGACGCCCGCCCGGGUAUCUCCCUCUCCCAACUUUGCCGCCGCGACUUUCUCCGCUGUCAGGCCACACAAAAGUGUCCUAGCGCCUCGCAGACUGCAACGAGGGGCAUGUCUCUUAAAAGUGCGACGAAGUGGAGAAGAAGGUAUAAUUAUUAUUAUCAGCAUCUAGAAAGCGUCGUGCGGUGCGUUGACCUUCGCCAUACUGCAUUGUUCUUACUGGAUCUUUCUAUCAGUGAACAUUAUGGAAGUACCAGUGCAACAUCAAGUCAUUCCUGGAUGAAAAGUUAUCAGACUUGUUCUUUUGGAGUUACUUAAAAGUUAAAAUGUCAGGAUUUUUGAUGAUGCCUUCUCUAAAUGGAUUACUACAAUUUGAUCACUGGGAAUUCUCCGCCUUAAAGAAGGUAAAAUCAUCUGUUGGAGUUAUUCCAUUAUCCUCAUCCUGUGGAGAUCUUGAUUUGGAAAUUCUUGACAAAAUCUACAGUGUCUGACUUACUAUCAAUGUUACCAACUGAAGGAUCUGCAUUGACUGCUCCAGCAGUGGCUAACUUGAUGUCCUCUGCAAAUUUAAAAAGCGUGCCACCUUUUCCAUCAUCGGGUCAUCCCUGAGGUCAUCACGGAACAUCCUUCUCAACUGUCCAUGAUCCGUGGGUAGCUGUUCUCUGUUGUCCAUUUCACCAGAUGUCCUCAAAACUAACAGACAGAAAAGGGAAAUGGUUAAUGGUGAGGAAAUUGAAGAUUUGUCCAAGAGCAGAAAGCUGAUGAGAGAGAGAAAGAAGAAAGAGACCAGCUUACAGCUCAAGUCCUCUUUCUAUGCUCUGGAAUCACCAUAAAUGCUACUCGCUUGGACCUCGUUUUGUUUCUUUCUGGAACUCUGUACUCUGUUUGCAAUGGUAUGGUUAGUUGUUAGGACCGCUUAUGUGUAUUUUUUUUUUAAUUUAGAGAAAUAUUGCUGCAAAGCUUUUCCAGGAUGUAUUUAAAAAGGAGGUAUCCUCUGGUUAUCUAGCAUUCAACUGAUUCUUUCAAUUUGGUUGGUUUAGUCAAAGUUUGAGUAGAAGAGUCUGUCUAGGUAAUGGUUUUUGAGGACACUUGGGCAAAACAAAAAAAAAUAGCCUAUGGAAAACUCAUUCUGAUCAUUUCAUACCUAGGAAAAAUGCAGAGAACAAUAAAAAUGAGUCAAUAUUUUAUAAAUUCAAGGCCAGUAUUCUAUGUCAAUGUCAAUGGUGUAUGAGUUCCAGAGGAUUUGUGUCACUAUUAAAUUACAAAUGAUUUGCUCUUAUUUGAGGUGUAGUAGAUUUAGCCGUAUAAUGGAUGGAAACAAACAGAAUACAAAGGAUAGAGAGCAAACGUAUUUUGUAAGGCAAUUGCAAGCCUCUUAUGAGCUUCAGUACAAAGGAAUAGAGACCAUCUCAUCUCUUUGCUAUUCAUUCAUCUUUAGCAUUAGUGAACUCAUGGCUUGUAUUCUUGACCUUGACCUAGAGCCCUGAAGCGCUUCCUGUCUUUGCCCUGCUUCAGCAGGUACAUUUCAGGAGAGUGAGCGUGUAUUACCUAUCUGUAACCCAGAUCUCAGGUAGAUGGGUGCUAUUAGAACUGGGAGAGAGCUGUCAUUUGAUGUUCAAGGAUUUCCCACUUUUGUAUAUGUUUGCAUACUGUAUGUUACCUUUCAUUUUAAGCUUUUUAUUCUCACUAUUCAAGCUAGUUGAAUUUGUUGAGCUAUUGUUCAUAAUUGUAGAAAUAGAUCUGUAGAGCUUUCUUCAAUGACCAUUUUCACUGCUAAUGUAUUUUGUAACCAGCCAGGUUUAUGGAAAACCCAGUUUUCAUGUUUUUCUGAGAGGUACAUGUCAAAGAAGGUUUUUCAUUCCUUGCUUAGCAAUUUUUAGUUUCCACCAGAGUUCAGUGGACCAUACAGUAUGUAUGGACCAAACAUCCCACCAGUUACACAACUUACUCUUACUAUUUAAGCAGCUUCUUUUAGGGGAUUGAGAGAGCAUGUUGGCCCUUUUAUAUAACUUAUUUUCGAAGUCAGAUCAAAUUCGCCAUUAGAGUGUUGUGAAUUCACAUCUUAAAUUCUUUUGGAAUUCUUUUUAUAUUCAUAUUUUUAGAGUCGUCACACCAAGCAGAAUUUUUCCAGGCCAUCUCUACUGAUCACCACUGAUGAAAGAGGCUCUGUUACCCAUCCUCCUUGCUCCGUCCUUUCUUCACUGCUUGGAAAGAAGCCAUGGGGAAUUUCCUUUGACUCCUCUCUGCCUGGUUUUUGAUGGACACACACACAAAGGUUUUUUUUUUUAAUUGCCUUUUUGAGAAGCAGGUGUCUAAUUCUAAUUCAGAGAAAAUGUAACAUAUAUUUUAAACCUGGUGGUGGAUGCACCAAUUAAGGAACCUAUAAAUCAAGUUGAACUUUGGAGCCGACAUGAUUGUUGGGGCUUGCCAUCUUCGUAAUGAAAGUCUUUGCCAUUAUAAUCUCACUUGGCAAAGAAUAAGUUGUCCCCUGGGAGAUGCCUUGCCAAAUCUUCAUCCAUAAUUCUGAACUGAUUCCAAGCCAGCCUGUUAUCUGAAAACGACUUCACAUCCCUUCUUUAUGGUCUAUGCCCUUAACCUCAAGGAUUCAGUUUGUGAACAUUGAAACAGCCAGAGACUACAGAAGAGUUCCUUUUUAAAAAUUAUGGUCAUUAAGGUGUAAUGCCAUAUGGACUCAAGGGGUGGCAAAGAUGCUGAGCAGCUUCUUGUUCGUUAAGACUGAAAUAUUUAUAUGAGCAGGAAUAACAGUAUAUUUUAGAAUCUGUGUGGUAUGAAAUUGAGCACCAAUGCAGUUAGAUAAUAUUGACA
rnacentral:lncRNA from 1 species